AGCAGCCGCGGUAAUUCCAGCUCCAAUAGCGUAUAUUAAAGUUGUUGCAGUUAAAAGCUCGUAGUUGAAUUUCGGGAUUGACGUGAUGGUCAUGCCUUAAGGGGUAUGAACUGUUACUGUUGAUUUCUCACCUUCUGGAGAAACUUGAUGUCCUUUAUUGGGUGUCUUGCGGAUCCAGGACCUUUACCUUGAAAAAAUUAGAGUGUUUAAAGCAGGCAUUUUUGCUCGAAUACAUUAGCAUGGAAUAAUAGAAUAGGACGGCAUGGUUCUAUUUUGUUGGUUUCUAGGAUCACCGUAAUGAUUAAUAGGGAUAGUUGGGGGCAUUAGUAUUCAAUUGUCAGAGGUGAAAUUCUUGGAUUAUUGAANCUAACUACUGCGAAAGCAUUUGCCAAGGAUGUUUUCAUUAAUCAAGAACGAAAGUUAGGGGAUCGAAGACGAUCAGAUACCGUCGUAGUCUUAACCAUAAACUAUGCCAACUAGGAAUCAGACGAUGUUAAUUUUUUAAUGACUCG
rnacentral:rRNA from 1 species